rnacentral:lncRNA from 1 species
GGCCGGCGCAGCCGGUGAUGCUCCGCACGUACAGGUCUCGCGCCCGGCCCAGCGCCCGCCGCGGCGCCCGCCAUAGCCAGCUCGCCAGCUUGCCACCACCGCUCCCGCCACUUCUCAUCGCCACUCCCGCCAAAAUCAACUAAUCACCUCUUCCUCUCGCUAAUCACACCGCUAAUAGUACUACUAAUCACACCACUAAUAGUAUUACCACUACUAAUCCUGAGUAAUUAACAAGAGCUAGAAGCCAACGAGUAGAGGAAGAAAUGG